rnacentral:rRNA from 1 species
UACGUAGGGGCCUAGCGUUGUCCGGAUUUAUUGGGCGUAAAGAGCUCGUAGGCGGUUUGGUGAGUCGGGUGUGAAAAUCAGGGCUCAACCCUGGACCUGCAUUCGAUACGGGCAGACUAGAGUUCGGUAGGGGAGACUGGAAUUCCUGGUGUAGCGGUGAAAUGCGCAGAUAUCAGGAGGAACACCAAUGGCGAAGGCAGCUCGCUGGGACGUGACUGACGCUGAGACGCGAAAGCGUGGGGAGCAAACAGG